AGGGUUUGAUCAUGGCUCAGGAUGAACGCUAGCGGCAGGCUUAACACAUGCAAGUCGAACGGUAACAGAAAAAGCUUGCUUUUUGCUGACGAGUGGCGAACGGGUGCGUAACGCGUAUGCAACCUACCUUCUUCAGAGGAAUAGCCCAGAGAAAUUUGGAUUAAUACCUCAUAAUAAUAUUUUUUCGCAUGAUAAUUUAUUUAAAGCUUCGGCGGAGGAAGAUGGGCAUGCGUAACAUUAGUUAGUUGGUGAGGUAACGGCUCACCAAGACUACGAUGUUUAGGGGGUCUGAGAGGAUGAUCCCCCACACUGGUACUGAGACACGGACCAGACUCCUACGGGAGGCAGCAGUGAGGAAUAUUGGUCAAUGGACGAAAGUCUGAACCAGCCAUGCCGCGUGAAGGAUGACUGCCCUAUGGGUUGUAAACUUCUUUUAUAUAGGAAGAAACCCCUCUACGUGUAGAGGGUUGACGGUACUAUACGAAUAAGCACCGGCUAACUCCGUGCCAGCAGCCGCGGUAAUACGGAGGGUGCAAGCGUUAUCCGGAAUUAUUGGGUUUAAAGGGUGCGUAGGCGGAAAUUUAAGUCAGUGGUGAAAGCCUGCAGCUUAACUGUAGAAUUGCCAUUGAAACUGAAUUUCUUGAAUCUAAUUGAAGUAGGCGGAAUAUGACAUGUAGCGGGUGAAAUGCUUAGAUAUGUCAUAGAACACCAAUAGCGAAGGCAGCUUACUAAGUUAGUAUUGACGCUAAUGCACGAAAGCGUGGGGAGCGAACAGGAUUAGAUACCCUGGUAGUCCACGCCGUAAACUAUGAUUACUCGCUAUUGGCGAUACACUGUCAGUGGCUAAGCGAAAGUGAUAAGUAAUCCACCUGGGGGAGUACGAUCGCAAGGUUGAAACUCAAAGGAAUUGACGGGGGCCCGCACAAGCGGUGGAGCAUGUGGUUUAAUUCGAUGAUACGCGAGGAACCUUACCAGGACUUAAAUGCAUUACGAUCGGUUGGGAAACCAACUUUUCUUCGGACGGAAUGCAAGGUGCUGCAUGGUUGUCGUCAGCUCGUGCCGUGAGGUGUCAGGUUAAGUCCUAUAACGAGCGCAACCCCUAUUCUUAGUUGCCAGCGGUUCGGCCGGGGACUCUAAGAAAACUGCCAGUGCAAGCUGCGAGGAAGGUGGGGAUGACGUCAAAUCAUCACGGCCCUUACGUCCUGGGCCACACACGUGCUACAAUGGUAGGUACAAAGGGCAGCCACUUGGUGACAAGGAGCUAAUCUCUAAAACCUAUCUCAGUUCGGAUUGGAGUCUGAAACUCGACUCUAUGAAGCUGGAAUCGCUAGUAAUCGCGCAUCAGCCAUGGCGCGGUGAAUACGUUCCCGGGCCUUGUACACACCGCCCGUCAAGCCAUGGAAGCUGGGAGUACCUGAAGUCGGUAACCAUAUAGGAGCUGCCUAGGGUAAAACUAGUAACUGGGGCUAAGUCGUAACAAGGUAGCCGUA
rnacentral:rRNA from 1 species